rnacentral:misc_RNA from 1 species
UAUGAAGAACGCAGCAAAAUGCGAUAAGUAAUGUGAAUUGCAGAAUUCAGUGAAUCAUCGAAUCUUUGAACGCACAUUGCGCCCGUCAGUAUUCUGACGGGCAUGCCUGUCCGAGCGUCAUUUCAACCCUCAAGCACUGCUUGGCGUUGGCGGAUUGCGUGCCCUCGCGGCGCUGCAACCGCCCAAAUACAGUGGCGGUCCCGCUGCGGCUCCCUUUGCGUAGUAACUCACCUCGCACUGGACCGGGCGGCGGCCUGCCGUAAAACCCCAACUCACGAAAUGUUGACCUCGGAUCAGGUAGGAAUACCCGCUGAACUUAAGCAUAUCAAUAAGCGGAGGA